GAACGAACGCUGGUGGCGUGUCUUAUACAUGCAAGUCGAGCGAGGCAGCAAUGCCGAGCGGCGAACGGGUGAGUAACGCGUAAGCAAUCUGCCCCAUAUCAGGAAAUACCCGUGCCAACGCGCGGUUAAUGUCCAGGAGAGUGGCCCUCCGCAUGGAGGGUUGACUAGAGAUUUAUCGGUAUGGGAUGAGCUUGCGUCCGAUUAGCUAGUUGGCGGGGCAACGGCCCACCAAGGCGACGAUCGGUAGCCGGCCUGAGAGGGUGAUCGGCCACAUUGGGACUGAGAUACGGCCCAGACUCCUACGGGAGGCAGCAGUAGGGAAUAUUGCACAAUGGGGGAAACCCUGAUGCAGCAACGCCGCGUGUGGGAAGAAGCAUUUCGGUGUGUAAACCACUGUCAUGAGGGAAUAAGGCCCGCCUUCGGACGGGAUUGAAUGUACCUUGAAAGGAAGCACCGGCAAACUUCGUGCCAGCAGCUGC
rnacentral:rRNA from 1 species